GACGAACGCUGGCGGCGUGCUUAACACAUGCAAGUCGAACGGUGAAGCGCCUUCCUUUUUGGUGGGUGUGGAUGAGUGGCGAACGGGUGAGUAACACGUGAGUAACCUGCCCCCUUCUUCUGGAUAACCGCAUGAAAGUGUGGCUAAUACGGGAUAUUCUGGGUCUGUCGCAUGAUGGGUCUGGGAAAGAUAUUGUUUCGGUGGGGGAUGGGCUCGCGGCCUAUCAGCUUGUUGGUGGGGUGAUGGCCUACCAAGGCGGUGACGGUUAGCCGGCCUGAGAGGGUGGACGGUCACACUGGGACUGAGACACGGCCCAGACUCCUACGGGAGGCAGCAGUGGGGAAUAUUGCACAAUGGGCGCAAGCCUGAUGCAGCGACGCCGCGUGAGGGAUGGAGGCCUUCGGGUUGUGAACCUCUUUCGCCAGUGAAGCAGGCCUGCCUCGUUUGUGGGUGGGUUGACGGUAGCUGGAUAAGAAGCGCCGGCUAACUACGUG
rnacentral:rRNA from 1 species